rnacentral:tRNA from 1 species
GCCUGGGUGGUUCAGUCGGUUGGGCAUCUGACUUCAGCUCAGGUCAUGAACUCUCUUUCGUGAGUUCGAGCCCCGCGUCAGGCU